GGCGGUAUAGCUCAGUUGGUAAAGAGUAUUCGGUUCAUACCCGAAAGGUCGGGGGUUCAAAUCCCUCUACCGCUACCA
rnacentral:tRNA from 1 species